rnacentral:tRNA from 1 species
UCCUCUGUAGUUCAGUCGGUAGAACGGCGGACUGUUAUCCGUAUGUCACUGGUUCGAGUCCAGUCAGAGGAGCCA